UACGGGGGGGGUAAGCGUUGUUCGGAAUUACUGGGCGUAAAGGGCUCGUAGGCGGCCAACUAAGUCGGACGUGAAAUCCCUCAGCUUAACUGGGGAACUGCGUCCGAUACUGGAUGGCUUGGAUUUGGGAGAGGGAUGCGGAAUUCCAGGUGUAGCGGUGAAAUGCGUAGAUAUCGGGAGGAACACCAGCGGCGAAGGCGGCAUCCUGGCCCUUACCUGACGCUGAGGCGCGAGAGCGUGGGGAGCAAACCGG
rnacentral:rRNA from 1 species